rnacentral:rRNA from 1 species
GCAGCCGCGGGAACACCGGCGGCCCGAGUGGUGAUCGUGAUUAUUGGGUCUAAAGGGUCCGUAGCCGGUUUGGUCAGUCCUCCGGGAAAUCUGAUAGCUCAACUAUUAGGCUUUCGGGGGAUACUGCCAGACUUGGAACCGGGAGAGGUAAGAGGUACUACAGGGGUAGGAGUGAAAUCUUGUAAUCCCUGUGGGACCACCUGUGGCGAAGGCGUCUUACCAGAACGGGUUCGACGGUGAGGGACGAAAGCUGGGGGCACGAACCGGAUUAGAUACCCGGGUAGUCCCAGCCGUAAACGAUGCUCGCUAGGUGUCAGGCAUGGCGCGACCGUGUCUGGUGCCGCAGGGAAGCCGUGAAGCGAGCCACCUGGGAAGUACGGCCGCAAGGCUGAAACUUAAAGGAAUUGGCGGGGGAGCACAACAACGGGUGGAGCCCUGCGGUUUAAUUGGACUCAACGCCGGACAACUCACCGGGGGCGACAGCAAUAUGUAGGCCAAGCUGAAGACUUUGCCUGAAUCGCUGAGAAGUGGUGCAUGG